ACUGCAUUUAAAACCAUCUGUCGUGCUGAGAAGGUAAACUCUUUUUCCUUUCAAGCAGAGAUAAAAUGAGGUAAACCAGACGUGAGAGAAAGCACGGGAACCCAUCAGCUGUGCAUCAGACACCCAAUUGUUCUCCUGGGGCUCUGCUCUUCUUGCCAGUCAACCAGUCACAAAGGGUUCAGCUUUGAUCUCAAUCUGACUCUGUUUGACAAAGCCAGUUACAGAUAGAUGCUCUUCAUGGAGACAGCAGAUUACAGACAAUGCCAUGCUGAAGAAAUGCUAUCUUGCCAUGGAUACACUGAAAGCUAUCUCUUCAUCCUGGGAUAUGCUUAUUCCAAGGAGUUGCAGAAAAAGGCAACUGUGGAAUGGAAGGCAUUUAUCUGUCCCACUUACAACAUCUCCUUGAGAAAAAACAAAUUUAGCAGCAACAACUAAGUAACAAAUUACAUAUGCCAUAAAGUCCCAUAUACUCAGUAGCCACAAAGACUGUGAUGCACCCAGUCAGCUAAAUAGGUGCUAUUUUUUCCCAGAACACAUCUAUUUGCUGUUGAAAGUGAGCAGCAGUAAUAGAAUCAGAUGAUUUAGAGUUAACUUGCAGGCAUGUGAUACAAAUCUUAAACACCUGUUUGACUUCUGCUACUCCCCAUGACUUAGGAAAGACAUCCUGAUUUCAUUUUGGCCAAUAAUGAAAGGCAAAAUGCCAUCUUAACAAUUUAGUUCAAAGCAAUCUUUUCUACAAGAUAGAUGUGGCUUCAGGUUGCCAAAAAGUGCAAAGCCCCUUUCUUUGUACUUUGAAAUUACACCAUCAGGACUGAGCAAAUGACUUUGUCGAUGCCAAAAGAAUAGAUUAUGAGUUUUAUUCUCAUGCUAAGCUCUGUGAAUUGUGUAGUGGUCAAGACCUCCCUGAUUCAGCAGCCCUAGAAAUGUCCAAUAAAAUGGCACUGCAUUCCAAUCACA